GAUUAUGGCUCAGGAUGAACGCUAGCGGCAGGCUUAACACAUGCAAGUCGAGGGGCAGCGUGGAGUAGCAAUACUCUGACGGCGACCGGCGAAAGGGUGAGUAACGCGUGAGCAACAUGCCCGUAGUUGGGGGAUAGUCGAUGGAAACGUCGCGUAAUACCCCGUAACAACAGAGGCCGCAUGACCUUUGUUUAAGAGAUUUAUUGUCUACGGAUUGGCUCGCGUACCAUUAGCUAGUUGGCGGGUAACGGCCCACCAAGGCGACGAUGGUUAGGGGUUCUGAGAGGAAGGUCCCCCACAUUGGAACUGAGACACGGUCCAGACUCCUACGGGAGGCAGCAGUGAGGAAUAUUGGUCAAUGGCCGAGAGGCUGAACCAGCCAUGCCGCGUGCCGGGAUGACGGCCCUAUGGGUUGUAAACCGCUUUUGUUGGGGAGCAAUAAGGUUCACGUGUGGACUGAUGAGAGUACCCAGCGAAUAAGCAUCGGCUAACUCCGUGCCAGCCGCGGC
rnacentral:rRNA from 1 species